AGUGCCUUAUCCAGGUUAGAUAAACUCUAUCAUUGAGAUGAAUUCUCAGGUCUCUUUUUGCUUUUUAUUUGGAGACAGUGUAUCUCCAAGUUUCCUAGGCUGGCUUGGAACUCCCAAGUCAAGCAGGUUUCAGGCCCAUGAUCCUCUGGUCUUAGUGAACUGAGGGGCCACAGUUGCAGGCCUAGACAGCCAGACUCAACAAACAUUAGAGUUCUGAAAUCUAUAAGGGAAAACAAAACCAUCCCUUAAGCCAACAAAUGUCACCAAGUCCACCCGACACUGUCGAGGAGCAAAGUCCCAAGUGUUAGAUGCUGUGCUCACCCCAGAGACGGAUGGAUCACACCGUUGAAAUUUUCUCCAUGUGUGUGACUCAUUUGUGUGCAUCUAUGUACAGGCCAGUUAACGCUGCCUGUCUAUGCACGGAUGCUGAGAUUCGGGAGCAUCCACUGGAGCACAGGAAACCUACAAGUGGUCACAUCCUUAACAAAGAGUGAUUCUCCCUCUUCCAGCAAAUAUCCACUACGAAUAGCUCCUCACUAUGGAGUGAGGCUUGGGGAUCAUCGACCCAUCUAUACCAGGAUUUUGGCUAGCCUUGCCUUGUGUACAUCUUGUGCAGGACUGGGGAUCAAACCUGGGCCUCACGCAAGCCAGACAAGCGAGAUCCAUGGCACUGACAUCCAGCCUCAUGUAUUCUCCAAUUGCUGCUAACUGGUGCCAUAGAGAAAAAGUCACACUCCGCACCUUGUGAGAGAAGCUACUCCAGGUGAGAAGCCACUCUUGAGGCUCCAGGUGAGAAGCCACUCUUCCGGGUCUGUGUUAGGAACCAUUCUUCAGGUUCCACGUUUGAAAAGCCAGCUCUUCCGGUUCUGUGUCAAGAGUCACCUCUUCAGGUUCUACGUUCAAAGCCACUCUUCAGGGACUGUGUGAGAAGCCACGCUUCAGGCUCCACUCUUCCCUCAGGCUCCUGCCAGCACGGGCUGAACAGCUAUGCCACAGUUCUUCACGAAAAUGAACCGAGAUCUAAACCAGGAUUCCCUCCUUUAAGUUGUUUCUGGUUGACAAAAUUCAUCAUCGCGGGAGCUGUGUUUUGAAAGUGCCUGAAAGUGACAGACCUCUUCUGAGCCUAAACUCUGAGCAAGCCCAGUUCCCAAAGAUCCCCAGGCCUGUGUGUGCUAAUGGAAACUCCAGUCACUUCUUAGAACGACUUCUGGCUGAACCCCAGGACACAGCUCUCAGGACGGUGGGAUGUCAGCCCCCUAGACAAGUCAUCUUGUUCAGUUCUCCCAACCUUCCUUGGAGGUACAUGUUUGCUCAGAAGGCUGUGGGUCCUAAGUUUGUGGGGACCCCCGGAGUGUGUGAUUCUAUAGCCCCUUUAUUUUAAGGAGCUGAGCAGUUUUCAGCUCAGCAGCUACUGAAUGGACUGUAUUGUCUGAUCAAGGAAAAUGUCCACCCUUCAGCUCCGAUCCUUGAUAAGGACCGACCACAAAGCCACACACUUGCUCAUGUACUGAUUCCUCUAUUUCUCCUCUUUCUAAGGCUCCAGGAAGGCUGUAGAUUCUAAGGCCACGGCAUAUUCACAUCUCAGAGGAGAGAGAGAGAAAUAAGUCCUGUAAGAAAGCCUAUUACUUAAGCUCUUCUGGCUUCUGGGCUCUUCAGUCCUCUCUUCCAUGAAAGCAAAGACUGAGAUGACACAUGAACUUGAACCUGAGGAAAAAAAAAAAGAGAGAAAAGUGCCACCUUUAAAAAUGCUGACAGCCUGUAUCAGUUCUAACGCAAUGCCUAGCAACCUUUGUUUUCUAGAGUAAGGGCCCUGCGGAAUCUAGGCCAAGGGUACUGAGAGUGCCGGGGGUAGAAUUUCUCCACCACAUCACAUCUCUUCCUCUACAACGGAAAGACCAAGAGGUAGGCCCAUCACCAGGAGUGGCCAGGUAGAGCUUAGGCUUUGACCUGUCAAUCAAGUUCCAGCAUGAUGGGCAGAAGCUUCUUAGCUGCAUUCAUAAACAUCAGGCCUUGUAUUCCCCUGGCUGAAAUACGAAAAGAAUUUGGGAAGAAUUGGUGCUUAAGACAAAAAUUACCUUCCUUUCUAAUGUUGCGAAUCUGAGACAGAUAUCCCAUCUAUUUCAUAGGAGCUUCCACCAACUUUCUUUCCAGCUAUUUUCCCAUUUCUUUUCUGUAUUUCCUCCUCUACGCAUCUUCCUCUCCUGUGUCUGGUCCCAUCGCCGCAUCUGCAUCCAAUCUAAUACAACAGGCUUAGAACUGCAGUCUAACACAGUUGGGAGUCUUCCUUUUGAGCUCAUGGGACAUUUCUCACAUCUGAAAAUCUAGAUAAGGCAUGUGUAUUUAUAAUACUUGCAUUCUGUUUCUAGAAUCUAUUUCAUGGUCUUAUCCAUUUGGUUAUAAUAUGAUCUCAUGCAAGGUUAUGCACUAUAUUAAUUCAUUUUCUACUAUGGCAACAAAUAUCUUAGGUAAAUCCACUUAUGAAGGGGAUUAGGUAAGCUGGGCUCACAGUCUUGGAGUUCUCAGCCCAUAAUCAGUUGGACUAAUGCUUUGGGUUGAGAGGUGAGGUAGGGCAUCCUGGUGAGGCAUUGAAGCUAAGGAAGCUACUUUGUAGGAAACUUGGAAGCCAAAGAAAGAGUUGGUAACAGAAACCCAGUGUCACCUUUCAGGACAUGUCUCUAGUGUCAUCCACUAGAUUUCUUGAAGGUUUCACCAUCUCCCAACAGUGUCACAGGAUUCAGAUUAAGCCUUUAACACAUGAGCCUUUGGGAAACAUUUACCCAAAGUAGUAGGCACCAGUCCUGAGACUCUGCCACCUACCAAUGGCUCCACAUUGCAGCAUCAGACAUGCCCAGGCCACCUCCUACCAAGCAACAUGUUAGAACUCCUCUUGCAGAGAAAUAAACAGGACAUUCUCAAAGGGCCACAAAUCAUGCAACUUGCUCUAGAGACCAUCCAUUUGAGAUGUAAGCAUUCAGGGUGUGAUGAAAGCUAACGUAGAAGAUGCCCUGCUAAGAUCCUCUGCUAAGAUGCUAAGAUGGCUCAGAGGAUAAAAUCACUUGCUGUGUAAGCCUGAUGACCUGAACUUGAUCCCCAGAAUCCACUUAUAGGUCAAAGGAGAAAACUGACUCCACAAAGUUUUCCUCUGACCUCCACAUGCAUGUCAUAGUGUGUGCUUGCCCACACAUUAAUAGAGUGCUCUCUCUCUAACAUACAGAGAUACACACAGAGAAAUACACACAGACACCCACACCCACCCACACACUCCUCCCCACACACCACA